CUGCAGAGGCGGCUAGACUUCGAAGAGUCUUAGAGAGUGGAUUUGACUUUUUGAAGAGAGAGAUCAGGGGCUCCAGUGAAACUGCCUCUACUCAGUUUAGUACCCUGAUGCAGUCUGUGUCGAGAGCAUUGGAUCUUUUGGAUACCAUCAGACUUUUUCUUCUAGCACAGUCCAUAGCUUUUCAGGCUCCAAGAUCCUCUCACCUC
rnacentral:lncRNA from 1 species